GCGCCCCGGCGGCGGAGGGGAGGGCGCGUGCGCGACUCCCGCCCGUUCCCGCCCCAGGCGCGCGCGGGAGCCGCGGCCAUGACGGGCAGCGAUGAGGGCGGGAGCGGCCCCGCGGCGCCCCGCGCCCGGCCGCGGCUCGGAGCCUCGGCGUGAGGGCGUCUGUGCGCUCCGCCUCCUCCAGCGCCUCGCCGCGGGGCCGCGCCGACAUGGCCAGCCCCGAGCAGUGGGAGAGCCUGCAGCCGCUGCAGCCGGACGCGUUGCGUGUAGCUCGGUUUGCAGGCAGCAGAUGGGUGAGAUCCCUGGACAAGAGGCCAUGAACUGCCCAACCCUUGGGAUGACAAAGGGCAGGCAGGAAGAAGGUGGCACUGACCAGGCACCAAUGAUUGACCUGAAUGUGCAGAAGGACACGCCGCUUGUGAAAAAAACUGUGGACAUCAAAAGGCCUCGAUUUGAUGCAUCCUUGGUGCUUUUGACACGAAAAUUUAUGGCUCUUCUCAGAAAAGCUCCAGACGGUGUCCUUGAUUUAAAUGAAGUAGCAAAAACACUAGGAGUACGAAAACGAAGAGUGUAUGACAUCACCAAUGUGUUGGAUGGCAUCAACUUGAUUCAGAAAAGAUCUAAGAAUCAUAUCCAGUGGAUAGGUAAGAGUCUUGACCAACUUAUUGGAAGAGCACCAGACCAGCAGAACCUUAAAGAGGAACUUUUGGACUUAUCAAUCAUGGAAGAAGCUCUGGAUGAAUUAAUCAAGAAUUGUGCUCAUCAGAUAUUUGAACUAAUAGAUGACAAAGAAAAUGCAAAACUAGCUUAUGUGACGUACCAGGAUAUCCGAAGCAUUCAGGCUUUUCAAGAACAGAUUGUGAUUGCAAUCAAAGCUCCAGAGGAAACCAAAUUGGAAAUACCAGUUCCUAAAGACGAUCACAUAGAAGUACAUGUGAAGAGCACGAAAGGACCCAUUGAUGUGUAUUUAUGUGAGGUGGAAAAAGAGAAUCCAGGUGCCGAAACUUGUGAAGAUAUGGAUACUGUCCAUAUCUAGUGAAACUGAGACAUCAUUUUAUCCUGAUGAAGGUAACAUCCUCCUUUUCCAUUUUUAUCCACAUGUAUUUUAUUUUGGUUUUCUUAAGAUUAUCAUAUCAUUCUGAUUAAACUGUAAACUGUGCUGUUGAACAAGUGUAAUUUUCAGAGCAUAGAUUGUGGGCCAAGGUAUAGGGAGUAAGGGAAAUGCCUGGAAGAGAAGUCUGUGCUGUUGUGUUACCUCACGGCAACAGGAGGUCAGGGAGUCAGGCACGUGCACACAGAGCAAGGCACUCUUGUUCCCUGGCCUUUUCCUUCCUUUGCUCCUUGCUGGUUUCCUGGCAGAGCCCGUGGAUGGAGCUCUCAGCUGCUGCACUACAGAGUCCUGCUCAGCUCAGAUUGUUGCCAUGAGAGUUAUGAUGCUGUUUUAAACAAGACUGUGCUGCUGCUCAUUCCUGCCCUAAGGGAGGGCAGACAGAAGAGGGGACGUCGUAUUUCAAUCUCCUAAAACAAGAUUGGAUGGGAUAGAGAUUCUGAAGAAGCCUAAUGCUGCAGGAUGUUGUGGCGUAAAAAUAAAUCUGGCAGGAAUUGCAGUAGCUCAGAACACAGCGAAAGAAAUUAUCUUUGGAAGUGCUUCUUUAUAGGUGAAGGGGAGAGUUGUCCUUUCAUCCCAGUGAGAUCUCCGAUGGAAGAAAAAAAACCCAUUUGAGAUGCCAGAUUAAUUACAACACAAGAAUCUAAUAUAGAAUGUAAAUAUCUGUGUUAUAGGGCUUUUCCAAACUGCUUGGAUCUGCAAACUUCCUAACCUGAAAUGUUCCGAAGUGUUUUAAAAAUCCAGCAGUGGAUUAGUUUAGUGUUUUCACAGGAUUGCUUAUCCUCCCAAGUCAAAAGACAACAGUUUCUGAAGUUGCAUUUAGGAGCUUUGUUUUCUUAAUUGCAUAUGACCUACAGAGCUUUGGGAAAAUGGUUUUUUACCUUAAAAUUUUAAUUGACAGAAAACAAAGAUAAUCAAUUACUUCCAAAAAUUAAGGUUGGAGAACAAUUUCUGGAGCAGUUCACCAUCUGCAUGAGAAUGUAUAAAAUGAAGAAAUGCACUUUUCAGUUCUGAGGCAGCACUACUAAGCAGGAUUGUCAAACACAAGUGUAACAAAGAACUGGUGUAUUGGAAGCCUUUGAUAUGAAGAACAAGCUGUAAAUAUCCCAAGAGCUAUGCUUUACACUGUGUAAUUGCUGUUCGUGUCCAGCUCUACAUGAACUAUGGUAUCAACACUGAAGUGAAAUAAUUGGGCUUUGUGUACAUACUUGUAUCAUUUCUGGGUAGUUACUGAUGUACAUUUAUUGAGAUGGUUUGUCUUUCUGCCUCUGUACAGUAAAGAAAUAAAAUCAGCUUACAAAAAUAUGAAA